rnacentral:lncRNA from 1 species
CUGCCGAGGAAUACGGGAAGAGGACAACACCCAAACUGGCAUGCCUGCGGAUGGCCCCGUGGUGCCAAACUUUGUUGCCAGUUUCCUAAAAAAAAGUGGGGAAGAUUUUUUCAACAAAAUAUCCAACAGCAGUGAUGUAACAGGAGAGUGAAAACGCAGCCAGGAGCCCCCAGUGAUGCAGCAACUAGAUGGAAAAUGGGAUCUGGUGAGGCGUGCAUGAUCUCCAACCACAAAACGGGGAGAAAAGAAAAAUCGGAUUGCCUGAUGCCUUGUGUAAAUUCAGCCAGACCUUGCAUGUUUGUGUGAUGCUGAUGACAUAAUAUCAGACCAACUCAAGAGACAAAAGAUGGAUCCAUAAAAGCAAACGGAAGACUUGCUGUCAGAGCUAACAAGGAUUCCUAAGUGAAGAGAAGAGACUCAAUAACUAACAUUUUUUUUAGAUAUUUCUUGAAAUUGCUUAUUCCUUUUUUUCACCUGUUAAAAUUUUUAUUUAGAUUAACAGUGCAUUGUGUUUACGAUGCCAUAUCUUCUUGCCGUAUUUGAAUAAACUGAAGCCAAUAUUGCUUUUCCCAUUUAAUUGAUUGUCGUCAUUCUUCCCUUGUUAGAUCAGGGGAUUCCAUGUUACACAAUGACAAACUUUGCAUCCAAAGAAAACAAAAUGACUUCAUCUUUACUGUUUAAGUUUUCUAACCAAAUCUUCAGGUUUUAAAUGUUUUUAUAUUCAUUGAUACUAAAUGCAUAGCAUUUUAAUGACCUUUUUCUUUAAACAUUACCGGUUUACUCAAAAAGUGGGUGUUUAGAAUAUGAUUGUAGAUAUGUUUGAAUAAAAAUGAGUCAUUUGUCACAUUUCUUGUGAUUUAUUUUCUGUUCAAAAAAUAAAGAAAUUCUAAUUUGCCACCAUUUUGAAUGUUAUACUAACUAUUUUUGCAAUGUUAAACACAGAAAUGUGAACAAUAAAUCAGGAAACUAU